rnacentral:lncRNA from 1 species
CUUUUCUGAAAUCUGUAAACUUCUAUUUUCAAGGCAGACCAGAUAAAAAUCCAUCUUCAAUGCAGUCGGUAAGACAAAACUACUUGAACUGAUGCACAAUCACAUAGUGUCCACUUCUCAGUUGAGUGCCAGCUUCAUUGUGUCGAAUCUUCGUGCUGUGACCUUGGCGGACCAGGUCCUGACAUUUAAUGUAACAACUGCUGUAAGUGUUAAAAUAAAUCAAAUGUUAAAAUAAAUUGAAAAUAUGGCAAUCAAAAGUAUUGGAGCACCUAAGAAACAUAGAAUGCAUUAUA